rnacentral:rRNA from 1 species
GAUGAACGCUGGCGGCGUGCCUAAUACAUGCAAGUCGAGCGAACGGACGAGAAGCUUGCUUCUCUGAUGUUAGCGGCGGACGGGUGAGUAGCACGUGGAUAACCUACCUAUAAGACUGGGAUAACUUCGGGAAACCGGAGCUAAUACCGGAUAAUAUUUUGAACCGCAUGGUUCAAAAGUAAAAGACGGUCUUGCUGUCACUUAUAGAUGGAUCCGCGCUGCAUUAGCUAGUUGGUAAGGUAACGGCUUACCAAGGCAACGAUGCAUAGCCGACCUGAGAGGGUGAUCGGCCACACUGGAACUGAGACACGGUCCAGACUCCUACGGGAGGCAGCAGUAGGGAAUCGUCCGCAAUGGGCGAAAGCCUGACGGAGCAACGCCGCGUGAGUGAUGAAGGUCUUCGGAUCGUAAAACUCUGUUAUUAGGGAAGAACAUAUGUGUAAGUAACUGUGCACAUCUUGACGGUACCUAAUCAGAAAGCCACGGCUAACUACGUG